ensembl:lncRNA
AAUCUGAGAGGCUCUGAAUGUUUAGUGGUCAAUCAGAAUGAGCUCCUUAAGGUAAUUUAAAGUUUAGAUAGCUGAAAUCAGUUGGCUUAUGAUUAGGGCCAUGCAUAGAAGUCAAAGUCUAUGAUUCUGUUUCUGACCCCUUGAGAAGAGAGGCCUUCUCUUCAGCUGCAGGUUUGAUGAUUAAUCAAGAUAGUAAAUGUGAAAGCAAUUAGUAAACUGUAAGGCAAGGAGGUAAGGUAUUUAUUGAUAUAAUAGUUUUCCAUCUUUGCUGCCUUUCAUUGUUAAGUGACCAAGGCUUUGAGAAUGAAUGACUUGCCUGUUUGAGUCUACAUGGCUUGAAAAAAUGAUAGAGAUGGAAUGCACAUCUUUGUCUUUUAAUUUUGACGUUUGACAAAAUGUCAGGGCUCAGUGUUGGGACCAUAGUGAUAGCCAAGACAGAUACAGGAUCCCUGUCCACAUGGAGCGUCAGUCUAUCCCAAAUACAGUGCUCUUUCAGUCAAUCCAUAUUUUCUUCUUUAACUGACGAGAGGGAAUACUUUUUCUAUGAAUUGAUAUGUGGCUUUUAUAAGAUGCUAAAUGUGCUUAUGGCUAAGCCUUGACUAUGGAGCCCUUUAAGUGGUUUCUCUGUCCCCAAAGGUGCCUUCAAUAGCUGCCCAGUAAACUUCCGAUCUCACUGGAUGGGCCUUUUAUUCAUCUCCAUUGUGGAGAGAGGAGUUGGAUGCCUCUCAGCAUCCUUCUCAUGGUCAAUCAGAGGCUUGUUGCAGAAAAAUACUUUUCUCUCCUACUCUGCAGAAUCAAAGGAAUCAGAUGGCCUCAAGGGCUGGGGACAGCACUUUACUAUGGAUAAUGCUGCUAUGAACAUUUGUGAACAAGUUUCAAUGGGACACGUGUUUUCAUUUCUCUUGGGUAUAUACGUCAAAGUGGAAUUGCUGGUUCACUUGAUGACUCAACAGUAAACACUUAGAGGAACUGCCAGACCAUUUUCCAAGUUUCCUCAGGCUUCUCUGGUGGCUCAGUGCUAAAGAAUCUGCCUGCCAGUGCAGGAAACAUGGGUUCGCUAUCUGGUGAGGGAAGAUCCUGCAUGCUGUGGAGCAGCUGAGCCCAUGUGCCACAACUAGUGGGUCUGUGCUCCAGAACCCAGGAACUGCGACUACGGAAGCUCACCUCCCACAGCUACUGAAGCGUGUGUGCCCUGAGCCCAUGCUCUGCAACAAGAGAAAAGCCCAUGCAGCAGUGAAGACCCAGCAGAGCCAAAAAUAAAGAAUAAAUAAAUUUUAAAAAGUUAAAAAAAUUUCCUCAUUAAAAGGGAGUCCUCAGGUUGGGGCUAUUCUGGGGAAAGGUGUCACCAUGCACAACAAACUAACUUUAUUAUCAUUUUUUUUUCAAACUAACUUUAAAAAGCAUGUUGAUUAAAAAAAAAUGUGAGUGCACUUGGGAAUUCCUUGAAUUCUGUGCAAUAAACAUUUUUAAAACAAAAAAACAGCAAAAAAAAAAAAAAAAGACCCUAGCUGGGCUGCAUAGAUUGGAGCAGCCCCUCUUGUUCUCUGUCUGAAAAUGGUUCUCUGUUGUUUGAGAACAGCUCUUAAGCACACAGGAGAGCCCCACCUCAGGCUCUUUAUGUUGACACCAUGUUCACUCAUCAAAUGUUUACUGAACACAGUCUGGGCCAGGCACUGAGCUAGGCCCCACAGCCUCUGCCCUCAUAGAAACAGCAGUCUAGACCAAAGGUUGGCAAACUCUGUAAAGGGACAGAUAAUAAGUACUUAUCUGGGUUAUGGUCUCUGUCUCGACUACCUAAUUCUGCUCAAAAGCUGUUGUAGACAGGAUGUAAGUGAAUGAGCUUGUCUGUGUUCCAGUGAACUUUAUUUGUGGGCACUCACAUUUUGAUUUUUUACUGUCACAUGUCACAAACUAUUAUUC